GCCUUCGUGGUGUAGUGGUUAGCACGCUCGACGCAUAACCGACAGGUUCGUGGUUCGAUUCCCAGCGAUGGCG
rfam:Stegodyphus mimosarum contig121165, whole genome shotgun sequence.